rnacentral:rRNA from 1 species
CAUGCAAGUCGAGCGCAGGAAGCCGUCUGAACCCUUCGGGGGGACSACGGUGGAAUGAGCGGCGGACGGGUGAGUAACACGUAAAGAACCUGCCCAUAGGUCUGGGAUAACCACGAGAAAUCGGGGCUAAUACCGGAUGUGUCAUCGGACCGCAUGGUCCGCUGAUGAAAGGCGCUUCGGCGUCGCCCAUGGAUGGCUUUGCGGUGCAUUAGCUAGUUGGUGGGGUAACGGCCCACCAAGGCGAGGAUGCAUAGCCGACCUGAGAGGGUGAUCGGCCACACUGGGACUGARACACGGCCCAAACUCCUACGGGAGGCAGCARUAGGGAAUCUUCCACAAUGGACGAAAGUCUCAUGGARCAACGCCGCGUGAAMGAUGAAGGCUUUCGGGUCGUAAAGUUCUGUUGUAAGGGAAGAACAAGUGCCGCAGGCAAUGGCGGCACCUUGACGGUACCUUGCGAGAAAGCCACGGCUAACUACSUGCCAGCAGCCGCGGUAAUACGUAGGUGGCAAGCGUUGUCCGGAAUUAUUGGGCGUAAAGCGCGCGCAGGCGGCCUCUUAAGUCUGAUGUGAAAGCCCCCGGCUCAACCGGGGAGGGCCMUUGGAAACUGGGAGGCUUGAGUAU